rnacentral:lncRNA from 1 species
GGUUAUCCCGUUUCUGUUUCUAUUUUUUAAGAUAACUUACAUUAUUUUUGAACACUUUCGGUUUCUUUAAAGAUGGAUUUUUCCUCUUCUCCUCUCAACCCUUCUUUUCUGCUCAAUCUCACAUUUAGUUCCAUCCCCCUGCCCAACCGCUCUUUGAGCCUCACAAGCCAUCAAUCUGCCUAAUAUCGAGCUAUCCAUCAUUUCAGCCAUGUCGCUAGCCUCAACUCAUUUUUU